UACAGAGACUGCAAGCGUUAUUCGGAUUCACUGGGCGUAAAGGGUGCGCAGGCGGCCGUGUGUGUGAGGCGUGAAAGCCCGGGGCUUAACCCCGGAAUUGCACCUCAAACUACAUGGCUAGAGCAUUGGAGAGGGUAGCGGAAUUCACGGUGUAGCAGUGAAAUGCGUAGAUAUCGUGAGGAACACCAGAGGCGAAGGCGGCUACCUGGACAAUUGCUGACGCUCAGGCACGAAAGCGUGGGGAGCAGAAGGG
rnacentral:rRNA from 1 species